rnacentral:lncRNA from 1 species
AGUGCUAUGAAGGUGACAGCGUGAGGUGACCCAUCUGGCCCGCCGCGAUGCUGGCAACACGGCGGCUGCUCGGCUGGUCGCUUCCCGCGCGGGUAUCUGUGCGUUUCAGCGGCGACACGGUGAGGCCCAGCCUGGCUGGGGCCACGGGUGUUUGGGGCCGGGUGUCGCGGCCGCGCCCGUGCACGAGCAGUCCCUGGGGUCUGUAGUGGCCUCUGGAGAGCCCUUCUCCCCAGGCCAGGCGGGAAGGCCCCCGCUCCGGCCUGGUUGAAGUAGGGGAACGGGUCCCAACGCGGGGCCGACUCCCUUGACCCUCUGACUUGCUGGCUUCCCUUGUUUUACAGUCCUCGGCCUGGCGGAAGUUUUGCAGGUUGUGAAGACCCCUAGUCUUUCAUUCUCUCCUUGUCACAGCCUUGUAGGGCGUGAAGGGGUCAUUGCCCCAUUUAGGGAUGCGCACCUCCUGAUUUCCCGUCCACUGCUCUGCGCCCUGAAGUGGCUGAAAAGUGCUCUUAAAAGGAUGGGAAUCCCGUCGCCCUCAGCUGCACCCAAGAAAACCUCAUUUGGCUCGCUGAAGGAU